rnacentral:rRNA from 1 species
CGUGGCUUUCAUUCAUGUUCAAGCAUUUAUACCGUGAAACUGCGAAUGGCUCAUUAAAUCAGUUAUCGUUUAUUUGAUAAUACCUUACUACUUGGAUAACCGUGGUAAUUCUAGAGCUAAUACAUGCUGAAAAUCCCGACUUCGGAAGGGAUGUGUUUAUUAGAUAAAAAACCAAUGCCCUUCGGGGCUUUUUGGUGAUUCAUGAUAACUUUACGGAUCGCAUAGCCUUGCGCUGGCGACGGUUCAUUCAAAUUUCUGCCCUAUCAACUUUCGAUGGUAAGGUAUUGGCUUACCAUGGUUUCAACGGGUAACGGGGAAUUAGGGUUCGAUUCCGGAGAGGGAGCCUGAGAAACGGCUACCACAUCCAAGGAAGGCAGCAGGCGCGCAAAUUACCCAAUCCCGACACGGGGAGGUAGUGACAAUAAAUACUGAUACAGGGCUCUUUUGGGUCUUGUAAUUGGAAUGAGUACAAUUUAAACCUCUUAACGAGGAACAAUUGGAGGGCAAGUCUGGUGCCAGCAGCCGCGGUAAUUCCAGCUCCAAUAGCGUAUAUUAAAGUUGUUGCAGUUAAAAAGCUCGUAGUUGAAACUUGGGCCUGGCUGGCGGGUCCGCCUCACCGCGUGCACUCGUCCGGCCGGGCCUUCCUUCUGAAGAACCUCAUGCCCUUCACUGGGCGUGCUGGGGAAUCAGGACUUUUACUUUGAAAAAAUUAGAGUGUUCAAAGCAGGCCUUUGCUCGAAUACGUUAGCAUGGAAUAAUAAAAUAGGGCGUGCGUUUCUAUUUUGUUGGUUUCUAGAGACGCCGCAAUGAUUAACAGGAACAGUCGGGGGCAUCAGUAUUCAGUUGUCAGAGGUGAAAUUCUUGGAUUUACUGAAGACUAACUACUGCGAAAGCAUUUGCCAAGGAUGUUUUCAUUAAUCAGUGAACGAAAGUUAGGGGAUCGAAGACGAUCAGAUACCGUCGUAGUCUUAACCGUAAACUAUGCCGACUAGGGAUCGGGCGAUGUUCUUUUUGGGACUCGCUCGGCACCUGGCGAGAAAUCAAAGUUUUGGUGAUGGUUCUCCAAAUAUUUUUAAAG